rnacentral:rRNA from 1 species
AGCUUGUUGGUGAGGUAAUGGCUCACCAAGGCGACGACGGGUAGCCGGCCUGAGAGGGCGACCGGCCACACUGGGACUGAGACACGGCCCAGACUCCUACGGGAGGCAGCAGUGGGGAAUAUUGCACAAUGGGCGCAAGCCUGAUGCAGCGACGCCGCGUGAGGGAUGACGGCCUUCGGGUUGUAAACCUCUUUCAGCAGGGAAGAAGCGCAAGUGACGGUACCUGCAGAAGAAGCGCCGGCUAACUACGUGCCAGCAGCCGCGGUAAUACGUAGGGCGCAAGCGUUGUCCGGAAUUAUUGGGCGUAAAGAGCUCGUAGGCGGCUUGUCACGUCGAUUGUGAAAGCCCGAGGCUUAACCUCGGGUCUGCAGUCGAUACGGGCUAGCUAGAGUGUGGUAGGGGAGAUCGGAAUUCCUGGUGUAGCGGUGAAAUGCGCAGAUAUCAGGAGGAACACCGGUGGCGAAGGCGGAUCUCUGGGCCAUUACUGACGCUGAGGAGCGAAAGCGUGGGGAGCGAACAGGAUUAGAUACCCUGGUAGUCCACGCCGUAAACGGUGGGAACUAGGUGUUGGCGACAUUCCACGUCGUCGGUGCCGCAGCUAACGCAUUAAGUUCCCCGCCU